AAUCUACAUUUCUUAUUGACUAUUUUAACGUCCCAUCAAUUAUUAAAAAAUAAAUUGAUUUUAUUUAGUGAUCGGGUUGCAACCGAAGUUAUUUUCUUUUCUCAGAUUGAAAGAAUGCCACCAGAAGGCGUGUUUUCAGGGCACAAGUGUGACAUGGAUUUUGGAGUCCCCACCCAGCACCCCCCUUCCCAGCUGUCUCUCAUGCCCCUCUCACCCCGUGGAGUUCAUCCGGGGCCCCCCCGUGGACAGGCCACGCCCGGCGUACAGAGGGGACGGCGAGGCCCAGGUGCUUCUGGGAGUGAAGAGCCGUGACCUACAGCAGGUAAAGGGGCAGAUCCUGAAGCCCAGAGUGCGUCAUGGCCACUGCUGCCAUGACGACGGUGGAAAAUGAAAGGCCGCAAAACAGCGGGCAUUUGCUCAUCUUUCAGACUCUAGCCACACCCCCCCCCCCCCAUGUCCCAUCACUGCUGGUACUGCGGCCAUAAUCUUUCAGCUACGCUGCCGGACUUGGGACUUCAAGCGCAAUGCCUUUUCAAGUUGGCCUCCAGCUUUUGUGACAAACAGUGAAGAUUUUAGUUUUAAUCCCUUUAAAUUUUAUUCCACUGUUAUUAUAUUAACAUAAUAAUAAUGCAGAAACUUAAAAAAAAAUUAAACUGCAUUAAAUAAGUAAAAUAAUAAGUAAUAAUAAUAGCAUAAUAAUAAUGGGUUACAUUGAUAUACAGCCUUUCACAGUGUUACUUAGGCUUUUUGUGGAGGAGAAUCUGGCAGGGUUUGGUUUUGAAGACUCAUAUUGGGGGUGGGGGUGGGGGGUGGUAUUUGGGGUUGAUGAAUGAUUUAUCCUUUAUAAAAUAAGGCAGUUGCUCUCCAUUCUUACCUUUGUUUCCAGCACGUAGGAAAGUAAAGACACGUUCUCCAACGGGACCCUCAGAACAUUUUA